rnacentral:rRNA from 1 species
UACGUAGGCAGCGAGCGUUGUUCGGAGUUACUGGGCGUAAAGGGUGUGUAGGCGGUUGUUUAAGUUUGGUGUGAAAUCUCCCGGCUCAACUGGGAGGGUGCGCCGAAUACUGAAUGACUAGAGUGCGGGAGAGGAAAGUGGAAUUCCUGGUGUAGCGGUGAAAUGCGUAGAUAUCAGGAGGAACACCGGUGGUGUAGACGGCUUUCUGGACCGUAACUGACGCUGGGACACGAAAGCGUGGGUAGCAAACAGG